ACGCUGGCGGCAUGCCUAACACAUGCAAGUCGAACGAGACCUUCGGGUCUAGUGGCGCACGGGUGCGUAACGCGUGGGAAUCUGCCCUUGGGUUCGGAAUAACUCAGAGAAAUUUGAGCUAAUACCGGAUGAUGACGUAAGUCCAAAGAUUUAUCGCCCAAGGAUGAGCCCGCGUAAGAUUAGCUAGUUGGUGGGGUAAAGGCCUACCAAGGCGACGAUCUUUAGCUGGUCUGAGAGGAUGAUCAGCCACACUGGGACUGAGACACGGCCCAGACUCCUACGGGAGGCAGCAGUGGGGAAUAUUGGACAAUGGGCGAAAGCCUGAUCCAGCAAUGCCGCGUGAGUGAUGAAGGCCUUAGGGUUGUAAAGCUCUUUUACCAGGGAUGAUAAUGACAGUACCUGGAGAAUAAGCUCCGGCUAACUCCGUG
rnacentral:rRNA from 1 species